rnacentral:misc_RNA from 1 species
GAUGAAGAACGCAGCGAAAUGCGAUAAGUAAUGUGAAUUGCAGAAUUCAGUGAAUCAUCGAAUCUUUGAACGCACAUUGCGCCCCCUGGUAUUCCGGGGGGCAUGCCUGUUCGAGCGUCAUUUCACCACUCAAGCCUCGCUUGGUAUUGGGCAACGCGGUCCGCCGCGUGCCUCAAAUCGACCGGCUGGGUCUCCUGUCCCCUAAGCGUUGUGGAAACUAUUCGCUAAAGGGUGUUCGGGAGGCUACGCCGUAAAACAACCCCAUUUCUAAGGUUGACCUCGGAUCAGGUAGGGAUACCCGCUGAACUUAAGCAUAUCAAUAAGCGGAGGA